UACAUGGGGGUGCAAACGUUUGUGUCGUCGGAAUUAUUGGGGCGUUAAAAGCGCACGUGAGGCGGUUCGUUAACGUCGGAUGUGAAAAGCCCUCGGCUCAACUGAGGAAGUGCACCCGAAACUGGCGAGCUUGAGUACGAAAGAGGAUCGCGGAAUUCCCGGUGUAGAGGUGAAAUUCGUAGAUAUCGGGAGGAACACCGGUGGCGAAGGCGGCGAUCUGGGUCGAUACUGACGCUGAGGUGCGAAAGCGUGGGGAGCAAACAGG
rnacentral:rRNA from 1 species